rnacentral:RNase_P_RNA from 16 species
GGAGUCGGCCAGACAGCCGCUGUCCUUGAAGGGGAUGGAGGAAAGUCCGGGCUCCACAGGGCAGGGUGCCAGGUAACGCCUGGGGGGCGCGAGCCCACGGAAAGUGCCACAGAAAAUAUACCGCCCCGGUGCGUCCGGGGUAAGGGUGAAAAGGUGCGGUAAGAGCGCACCGCGCUGGCGGUAACGCCAAGCGGCAGGGUAAACCCCAUCCGGAGCAAGACCAAAUAGGGGAGCAUUGGGUUCGCCCAGACGUGCGGCCCGCACGGCUCCCGGGUAGGUCGCUCGAGACGUACGGUGACGUAUGUCCCAGAUGAAUGGCUGUCCACGACAGAACCCGGCUUACCGGCCGACUCUUCUU